UACGUAGGGUGCAAGCGUUAAUCGGAAUUACUGGGCGUAAAGCGUGCGCAGGCGGUUGGGCAAGACAGAUGUGAAAUCCCCGGGCUCAACCUGGGAAUUGCAUUUGUGACUGCACGACUAGAGUGUGUCAGAGGGGGGUAGAAUUCCACGUGUAGCAGUGAAAUGCGUAGAGAUGUGGAGGAAUACCGAUGGCGAAGGCAGCCCCCUGGGAUAACACUGACGCUCAUGCACGAAAGCGUGGGGAGCAAACAGG
rnacentral:rRNA from 1 species